rnacentral:rRNA from 1 species
AAGGAAUAUUGGUCAAUGGACGCAAGUCUGAACCAGCCAUGCCGCGUGAAGGAUAAAGGUCCUCUGGAUUGUAAACUUCUUUUAUCUGGGACGAAAACGGGAUUUUUAUCUCAAUUGACGGUACCAGAGGAAUAAGCACCGGCUAACUCCGUGCCAGCAGCCGCGGUAAUACGGAGGGUGCGAGCGUUAUCCGGAUUUACUGGGUUUAAAGGUUCCGUAGGUGGGCUUAUAAGUCAGUGGUGAAAUCUCCGAGCUUAACUUGGAAACUGCCGUUGAUACUAUAGGUCUUGGAUUAUCUGGAGGUAAGCGGAAUAUGUCAUGUAGCGGUGAAAUGCUUAGAUAUGACAUAGAACACCAAUUGCGAAGGCAGCUUACUACAUAUAAAUUGACGCUGAGGCACGAAAGCGUGGGGAUCAAACA